rnacentral:miRNA from 1 species
UCCUGGAUAAUACAAUAAUUGCGC